rnacentral:rRNA from 3 species
UACAGAGGGUGCUAGCGUUAAUCGGAAUUACUGGGCGUAAAGCGUGUGUAGGUGGUUAGAUAAGUUAGAUGUGAAAUCCCCGGGCUUAACCUGGGCAUUGCGUUUAAGACUGUUUAGCUUGAGUACUGUAGAGGAUAGUGGAAUUUCCAGUGUAGCGGUGAAAUGCGUAGAUAUUGGAAGGAACACCAGUGGCGAAGGCGACUAUCUGGACAGAUACUGACACUGAGACACGAAAGCGUGGGGAGCAAACAGG